GUCUUCGUAGUAUAUAAUUACAUUGGUCUUGUAAACCAAAAAUGGAGGACCAAUCCUCCCUAAGACU
rnacentral:tRNA from 1 species